UUCUCUUGAGAGCGGCGGACGGGUGAGUAAUGCCUAGGAAUCUGCCUGGUAUUGGGGGAUAACGUCCGGAAACGGACGCUAAUACCGCAUACGUCCUACGGGAGAAAGCAGGGGACCUUCUGGCCUUGCGCUAUCAGAUGAGCCUAGGUCGGAUUAGCUAGUUGGUGGGGUAAUGGCUCACCAAGGCGACGAUCCGUAACUGGUCUGAGAGGAUGAUCAGUCACACUGGAACUGAGACACGGUCCAGACUCCUACGGGAGGCAUCAGUGGGGAAUAUUGGACAAUGGGCGAAAGCCUGAUCCAGCCAUGCCGCGUGUGUGAAGAAGGUCUUCGGAUUGUAAAGCACUUUAAGUUGGGAGGAAGGGCAGUAAAUUAAUACUUUGCUGUUUUGACGUUACCGACAGAAUAAGCACCGGCUAACUCUGUGCCUUGGCCGCGGUAAUACAGAGGGUGCAAGCGUUAAUCGGAAUUACUGGGCGUAAAGCGCGCGUAUGUGGUUCGUUAAGUUGGAUGUGAGAUCCCCGGGCUC
rnacentral:rRNA from 1 species